rnacentral:ncRNA from 2 species
UUCUUAUCGAGAGAAGCUGAGGGACUGGCCCAAUGAAGCUUCAGCAACCAACUUUAUGUCAGGUGCUAAAUCCAGAAGACUAUUGAGUCGAAGAUGAGAA